AGUCGUGUGAUGAGCACAUAGAGAACUAUUCUUUUGCCUUUUACUAAAGAAUACGGUGUGCCCGUCCACUAAAAGCGACAUACGCUGUUUGAAAGAGCUCUCCUAUUCGAAUUUU